GAUGAACGCUAGCGGCAGGCUUAAUACAUGCAAGUCGUGGGGCAGCAUGAGUAGCAAUACUUGAUGGCGACCGGCAAACGGGUGAGGAACACGUACACAACCUUCCUUCAAGCGGGGAAUAGCCCAGAGAAAUUUGGAUUAAUACCCCAUAAUAUAUUUGAUAAGGCAUCUUAUUAAUAUUAAAGCUUCGGCACUUGAUGAUGGGUGUGCGGCUGAUUAGAUAGUUGGCGGGGUAACGGCCCACCAAGUCUACGAUCAGUAGCUGAUGUGAGAGCAUGAUCAGCCACACGGGCACUGAGACACGGGCCCGACUCCUACGGGAGGCAGCAGUAAGGAAUAUUGGACAAUGGACGAAAGUCUGAUCCAGCCAUGCCGCGUGAAGGAUUAAGGUCCUCUGGAUUGUAAACUUCUUUAUAUGGGACGAAAAAGGGCAUUCUUGUUCACUUGACGGUACCAUAUGAAUAAGCACCGGCUAACUCCGUGCCAGCA
rnacentral:rRNA from 1 species